UUAGUGGCGGACGGGUGAGUAACGCGUGAGUAACCUGCCUCUCAGAGGGGGAUAACGUCUGGAAACGGACGCUAAUACCGCAUGAUAUUUCAGAGCCGCAUGGUUUUGGAAUCAAAGGAGCAAUCCGCUGAGAGAUGGACUCGCGUCCGAUUAGCCAGUUGGUGAGGUAACGGCCCACCAAAGCAACGAUCGGUAGCCGGACUGAGAGGUUGAACGGCCACAUUGGGACUGAGACACGGCCCAGACUCCUACGGGAGGCAGCAGUGGGGGAUAUUGCACAAUGGAGGAAACUCUGAUGCAGCAACGCCGCGUGAGGGAAGAAGGUCUUCGGAUUGUAAACCUUUGUCCUUGGUGACGAUAAUGACGGUAGCCAAGGAGGAAGCUCCGGCUAACUACGUGCCAGCAGCCGCGGUAAUACGUAGGGAGCGAGCGUUGUCCGGAUUUACUGGGUGUAAAGGGUGCGUAGGCGGCUUUGCAAGUCAGGUGUGAAAACUAUCGGCUUAACUGAUAGACUGCAUUUGAAACUGUGGAGCUUGAGUGAAGUAGAGGCAGACGGAAUUCCCGGUGUAGCGAUGAAAUGCGUAGAGAUCGGGAGGAACACCAGUGGCGAAGGCGGUCUGCUGGGCUUUAACUGACGCUGAGGCACGAAAGCAUGGGUGGCAAACAGGAUUAGAUACCCUGGUAGUCCAUGCUGUAAUCGCUUUUUCUAGGUGUGGGUGGACUGACCCCAUCSGUGCCGGAGUCAACACAAUAAGCAAUCCACC
rnacentral:rRNA from 1 species